rnacentral:rRNA from 1 species
GUCAGCGGCCAUAGGAGGGAGGUCACACCUGUUCCCAUCCCGAACACAGAAGUUAAGCUCCCUUACGGCGUUAUUUGUACUGUGCUAUGCACGGGAAGAUAUGCUGUUGCUGGCA